GUGUUACGUGUGAGGCCGGGAGCAGACAGAAGCAUGGCACAGGAAUAAUUGUGAAGAGUAGUAUUUUCACAUUUUGUUUGGGAAGAAAACCCCUUUAAAUAACAGACAACAUUCUCCAUUGACUUUCAAAUAUAUCAAACAAAUGGAAUGCGGCAAAGGAAGAGGAAACAAUGUGUUAUAUGGACAAGACUUCAGGGGCUUUGUGCUCAGUUGCUCUCCCUUGUCAACAUAAGGUGUUAAGAUGGGUGGAGGGAGCUCUUAUCACAAUUUCUUUCUAUUCGAAAGCCAGGAAAGCUAACAUCAGCACCAAAGGAAAAAAAAAAGCCCAUCUUUAUAUUACAGUAGAAAACUGUAUACAGAAGUUAUAGAAGACUUGAGUU